GAAACGAUGUGGGAAGGCCCAGACAGCCAGGAUGUUGGCUUAGAAGCAGCCAUCAUUUAAAGAAAGCGUAAUAGCUCACUGGUCGAGUCGGCCUGCGCGGAAGAUGUAACGGGGCUAAACCAUGCACCGAAGCUGCGGCAGCGACACUGUGUGUUGUUGGGUAGGGGAGCGUUCUGUAAGCCUGCGAAGGUGUGCUGUGAGGCAUGCUGGAGGUAUCAGAAGUGCGAAUGCUGACAUAAGUAACGAUAAAGCGGGUGAAAAGCCCGCUCGCCGGAAGACCAAGGGUUCCUGUCCAACGUUAAUCGGGGCAGGGUGAGUCGACCCCUAAGGCGAGGCCGAAAGGCGUAGUCGAUGGGAAACAGGUUAAUAUUCCUGUACUUGGUGUUACUGCGAAGGGGGGACGGAGAAGGCUAUGUUGGCCGGGCGACGGUUGUCCCGGUUUAAGCGUGUAGGCUGGUUUUCCAGGCAAAUCCGGAAAAUCAAGGCUGAGGCGUGAUGACGAG
rnacentral:rRNA from 1 species